rnacentral:rRNA from 1 species
GACGAACGCUGGCGGCGUGCUUAACACAUGCCAGUCGAACGGAAAGGCCCUGCUUUUGUGGGGUGCUCGAGUGGCGAACGGGUGAGUAACACGUGAGUAACCUGCCCUUGACUUUGGGAUAACUUCAGGAAACUGGGGCUAAUACCGGAUAGGAGCUCCGGCUGCAUGGUGGGGGUUGGAAAGUUUCGGCGGUUGGGGAUGGACUCGCGGCUUAUCAGCUUGUUGGUGGGGUAGUGGCUUACCAAGGCUGUGACGGGUAGCCGGCCUGAGAGGGUGACCGGCCACAUUGGGACUGAGAUACGGCCCAGACUCCUACGGGAGGCAGCAGUGGGGAAUAUUGCACAAUGGGCGGAAGCCUGAUGCAGCAACGCCGCGUGCGGGAUGACGGCCUUCGGGUUGUAAACCGCUUUCGCCUGUGACGAAGCGUGAGUGACGGUAAUGGGUAAAGAAGCACCGGCUAACUACGUG